rnacentral:rRNA from 1 species
CUACGGGAGGCACCAGUGAGGAAUCUUCCACAAUGGACGAAAGUCUGAUGGAGCGACACCGCGUGAAGGAUGAAGGUCUAACGAUUGUAAACUUCUUUUCUGAGGGAGGAAAAUGACAGUACCUCAGGAAUAAGGGGCGGCUAAUUACGUGCCAGCAGCCGCGGUAAUACGUAAGCCCCGAGCAUUACUCGGAAUUAUUGGGUGUAAAGGGUCCGUAGGCGGAUUUGAAAGUUGGAUAUGAAAGACCGGAGCUCAACUUCGUGUUUGUGUUCAAAACUCCAAAUCUAGAAUUAGGGAGGGUAAGCGGAAUUCUGUGUGUAGGGGUGCAAUCCGUAGAUACACAGAAGAACACCAAAAGCGAAGGCAGCUUACUGGAACUAUAUUGACGCUGAUGGACGAAAGCGUGGGGAGCGAAAAGGAUUAGAUACCCUCGUAGUC